UCUCCUGUAAGUUAUCUUUUAAACUGCUAACUUGUGGCGUUGGUUAAUCGCUCAACGACUGGGGAA
rnacentral:tRNA from 1 species